rnacentral:rRNA from 1 species
UACGUAGGGUGCAAGCGUUAAUCGGAAUUACUGGGCGUAAAGCGUGCGCAGGCGGUUCGGAAAGAGAGGUGUGAAAUCCCAGGGCUUAACCUUGGAACUGCACUUUUAACUCCCGAGCUAGAGUAUGUCAGAGGGGGGUGGAAUUCCGCGUGUAGCAGUGAAAUGCGUAGAUAUGCGGAGGAACACCGAUGGCGAAGGCAGCCCCCUGGGAUGAUACUGACGCUCAUGCACGAAAGCGUGGGGAGCAAACAGGAUUAGAUACCCUGGUAGUCCACGCCCUAAACGAUGUCAACUAGCUGUUGGGGGCUUCGGCCCUUAGUAGCGCAGCUAACGCGUGAAGUUGACCGCCUGGGGAGUACGGUCGCAAGAUUA